rnacentral:lncRNA from 1 species
UUGUAAGCCCCAAUUCCUCGAUUAAUUCACCCCGAUCAUUUGUUAAUCGUAAGAAAAAAUGGGAAAGAUUUUGUUUUUAGAACAGGGUUUUAUAUAUUAAUAUCAAUUAUAUGUUUAGUUAGGAAAUGCUCUUACCCAAAUUGUAUUGGCGUGCUUAGACUUGCUUGUUAUGAAUGUUGGUUUGCUUGAGUAGCGGUUAGAGAAUAGCGGACUUGUGAAAUUAUUCCCUUUUUUUAUGAAGAUUCCUGGUGAUGCUUACUACUAUAUCUGUUGUGUGUUGGUUGAGUUGAAUUGCCUUUUAUAAUUGGACUCAAUGCAUUGUACUCGUCAUGGUUUACGCAAGUGGGAGGCAGUAGAAUAGCGGACUUGUGAAAUUGUUCCGAUUUUUAUGAAGUUUCUCGGUGAUGCUUACCACUCGUUUUGUAGUAACUAAAGAAAUUAGUUGGAUAUUACUCUUAUCUUUUGUGUGUUGGUUGAGUUGAAUUGCCUUUUAGAAUUGGACUCAGUGCAUUGUACUUGUCAUGGUUUACUCAAGUGGGAGGCAGUAGAGUGGUGUUUGAUCACGAAAUAUGGCAAGAUGGUGGCAGCCUUAGGGUUAGGGCUGGGGUUGAGUUAUGUAGUUUGGAUUAAUACGCUGCCAUUCUACAUUUUCUGUCCUUUUCUUCUUAACUGCGGAGUUAAAUUUGGCUUUUGGGUUUUUGCAUAUGGUUUUCCUCUUAGUGGUUGCAUAGACCAAAUCAAAAUGUGGAAACUGCAUUCUGGUUUUUGAAAGCCUUGU